GACGAACGCUGGCGGCGUGCUUAACACAUGCAAGUCGAACGGAAAGGCCUGCUUUCCCUUGUGGAUUGCGGGUACUCGAGUGGCGAACGGGUGAGUAACACGUGAGUGAUCUGCCCCCAACUUGGGUAUAAGCCUGGGAAACUGGGUCUAAUUCCCGAUAGGACUGCAGGGUGGUGCCUGUGGUGGAAAACGAUUUUCUAGUGGUUGGGGAUGAGCUCGCGGCCUAUCAGCUUGUUGGUGGGGUAAUGGCCUACCAAGGCGGCGACGGGUAGCCGGCCUGAGAGGGUGGGCGGCCACAUUGGGACUGAGAUACGGCCCAGACUCCUACGGGAGGCAGCAGUGGGGAAUAUUGCAAAAUGGGCGGAAGCCUGAUGCAGCGACGCCGCGUGGGGGAUGACGGCCUUCGGGUUGUAAACUCCUUUCGACCGCGAGGAAGCCACCUGGUUGGAAGGGUGGUGACGGUAGUGGUAGAAGAAGCACCGGCUAACUACGUG
rnacentral:rRNA from 1 species